GAUGAACGCUAGCGACAGGCCUAACACAUGCAAGUCGAGGGAAAGAGUAGCAAGAUACACGAGUGGCGCACGGGUGAGUAACGCGUAUGCAACCUACCUUGAACUGAGGGAUAGCCCAGAGAAAUCUGGAUUAAUACUUCAUAAUAAUAUAAAACGACAUCGUUUAAUAUUUAAAGCUCCGGCGGUUUAAGAUGGGCAUGCGUGACAUUAGUUAGUUGGUAAGGUAACGGCUUACCAAGACAGCGAUGUCUAGGGGUUCUGAGAGGAUUUUCCCCCACACUGGUACUGAGACACGGACCAGACUCCUACGGGAGGCAGCAGUAAGGAAUAUUGGGCAAUGGACGAAAGUCUGACCCAGCCAUGCCGCGUGCAGGAUGACAGCCCUAUGGGUCGUAAACUGCUUUUAUAUGGGAAGAAACUCCACUAUGUAUAGUGGACUGACGGUACCAUACGAAUAAGGAUCGGCUAACUCCGUGCCAGCAGCCGCGGUAAUACGGAGGAUGCGAGCGUUAUCCGGAUUUAUUAGGUUUAAAGGGUGCGUAGGCGGAAAAUUAAGUCAGUGGUGAAAUCUUGUAGCUCAACUACAAAACUGCCAUUGAUACUGGUUUUCUUGAGUAUAGUUGAGGUAGGCGGAAUGUGUAGUGUAGCGGUGAAAUGCAUAGAUAUUACACAGAACACCAAUUGCGAAGGCAGCUUACUAAACUAUAACUGACGCUGAUGCACGAAAGCGUGGGUAGCGAACAGGAUUAGAUACCCUGGUAGUCCACGCCGUAAACGAUGAUUACUCGUUGCAUGCAAUACACCGUAUGUGACUUAGCGAAAGCAUUAAGUAAUCCACCUGGGGAGUACGUUGGCAACAAUGAAACUCAAAGGAAUUGACGGGGGCCCGCACAAGCGGAGGAACAUGUGGUUUAAUUCGAUGAUACGCGAGGAGCCUUACCUGGACUUAAAUGUAGCUGACCGCCUCAGAAAAGGGGUUUUCCGCAAGGAAAUUUACAAGGUGCUGCAUGGUUGUCGUCAGCUCGUGCCGUGAGGUGUCGGAUUAAGUCCCAUAACGAGCGCAACCCACGUUGUUAGUUACCAGCACAUAAUGGUGGGCACUCUAACAAUACUGCCGGUGUAAACCGCGAGGAAGGUGUGGAUGACGUCAAAUCAGCACGGCCCUUACGUCCAGGGCUACACACGUGUUACAAUGGCCGGUACAGAGGGCCGCUACCUAGCGAUAGGAUGCUAAUCUCCAAAACCGGUCUCAGUUCGGAUCGAAGUCUGCAACCCGACUUCGUGAAGCUGGAUUCGCUAGUAAUCGCAUAUCAGCCAUGAUGCGGUGAAUACGUUCCCGGGCCUUGUACACACCGCCCGUCAAACCAUGGAAGCUGGGGGUACCUGAAGUCGGUGACCGCAAGGAGCUGCCUAGGGUAAAACUGGUAACUGGUGUUAA
rnacentral:rRNA from 1 species